AAGGUUUUAAGUUAAUAUAAACUAAUAAUUUUCAAAAUUAUUUAUAAAAAAAAAUUUUUUAAGCCUUA
rnacentral:tRNA from 1 species